AUGAGGACGACAAUGGAAGGCAUCCGAUAA
rnacentral:piRNA from 1 species